AGCCUAAGCCUAAACCUAGGCCUAAGCCUAACCCUAAGCCUGAGUCUGAGCCUAAGCCUAGACCAAAGCUUAAGCCUAAGCCUAAGCCUAAGCCUAC
ensembl:ncRNA F47G4.11 ncRNA